rnacentral:rRNA from 1 species
UUGAACGCUGGCGGCAGGCCUAACACAUGCAAGUCGAACGGUAACAGGAAGCAGCUUGCUGCUUUGCUGACGAGUGGCGGACGGGUGAGUAAUGUCUGGGAAACUGCCCGAUGGAGGGGGAUAACUACUGGAAACGGUAGCUAGUACCGCAUAACGUCGCAAGACCAAAGAGGGGGACCUUAGGGCCUCUUGCCAUCGGAUGUGCCCAGAUGGGAUUAGCUAGUAGGUGGGGUAACGGCUCACCUAGGCGACGAUCCCUAGCUGGUCUGAGAGGAUGACCAGCCACACUGGAACUGAGACACGGUCCAGACUCCUACGGGAGGCAGCAGUGGGGAAUAUUGCACAAUGGGCGCAAGCCUGAUGCAGCCAUGCCGCGUGUAUGAAGAAGGCCUUCAGGUUGUAAAGUACUUUCAGCGGGGAGGAAGGGAGUAAAGUUAAUACCUUUGCUCAUUGACGUUACCCGCAGAAGAAGCACCGGCUAACUCCGUG